AUGCGCCACUCGCACACGCCGGUUCUGAGCGCGCCGUCCGCCCCACCUGACGAUUGCUCGCCACGUGUGGUUAGCC
rnacentral:sRNA from 1 species